rnacentral:tRNA from 1 species
GCCUGGCUGGCUUGGUCGGUAGAGCACGAGACUCUUGAUUUCGGGGUUGUGGGUUCGAGCCCCAAGCUCGGUG